GACGGACGGUGCAAGCGUUGCUCGGAAUCACUGGGCGUAAAGGGCGCGUAGGCGGUCGUGUGCGUCAGAGGUGAAAUCCCCGGGCUUAACCCGGGAGCUGCCUCUGAUACGGCAUGGCUUGAGUCCGGGAGAGGUGAGUGGAACUCCGAGUGUAGAGGUGAAAUUCGUAGAUAUUCGGAAGAACACCAGUGGCGAAGGCGGCUCACUGGCCCGGUACUGACGCUGAGGUGCGAAAGCGUGGGGAGCAAACAGG
rnacentral:rRNA from 1 species